AACGAACGCUGGCGGCAUGCCUAACACAUGCGAGUCGAACGAAAAGUCCGGGCUUAGUGGCGCACGGGUGCGUAAAGCGUGGGAACCUGCCCUUGGGUUCGGAAUAACUCCCCGAAAGGGGUCCUAAUAACGGAUAAUGUCUUCGGACCAAAGAUUUAUCGCCUUUGGUUGGGCCCGAGUUGGAUUAGUUAGUUGGUAGGGUAAAAGCUUACCAAGGCGAGGAUCCAUAGCUGGUUUGAGAGGAGGAUCAGCCACACUGGGACUGAGACACGGCCCAGACUCCUACGAGAGGCAGCAGAGGGGAAUAUAGGAGAGUGGGCGAAAUGCUGAUCCAGCGAGGCGGGGAGAGUGAUGAUGGGCUUGGGGAUGUAAUGCUCUAUUAACCGGGAUGUUAAUGACGGUACCGGGAGAAUAAGCACCGGCUAACUCCGUG
rnacentral:rRNA from 1 species